AUUCAUGUAUGCUUCAGCUUUUAGCAACCCAAUACUUGUUAAUCGCCAUUCCCUUUCUGUAUAAUUUCAAUUUUCUCAUAUUUGAUUACUAAAGAAAUGAUCAUUCAAAUUUGUCUGUCAAUUCUAGUCAAGCGUGUAUCUAACAGUCAAGGAAAUUAAAAUGGUCUAGUAUUUAUUCUGUGUUAGUAGCAUUCAAUAAUUCAUAUCUUUAGUAAGGUAAAGAGAGAACUUUCAAAAUGGCACGUCUUCCCUUUAACAUAACAAAGACGAAUGAGCUUUUGCUUUUGCUUUCUUUAUUAUGUCAAACAUUUGUUUUCCUUGGAUUCUUUAUAGAUCACCAAUUUGCUUUUGUAAGUGGACGACUCUUUUUGCUUUUUUUCAAAAAAAAAAAGGAAAAAAAAGUUUGAAUAUGCAUUUGGAAAGAGCUUUGAAGUAAUUAAACGCACUUUCUAAUGAUUUUCUGAUAUAAUCCUUAUUAUUUUUAGCUUCUAAGAAUUCCAAUCCAGAGGUGCUAAUCUAACAGUUUCAGUAAUUAUCACUUUAACAUAUAUGAUGGAGGGAUAGGGAAUAUAUAACCUUGUAUGUUUAAACAAUUAUCGAUGCUUCAGCCAUGCUUGUUCAGCUGACUUGGUUUGGUGGUUUUUCCAGAUAAAGCAACAGGAGUCGAACUGACAUUGCAUCAUUUGCAUACUUAACAAAUAUCCAUGAAGUUUCAUAACUCCAUUGCUGUUCUCACUUUCCUUUUCUUCGUACUCUCUAUUGUUGCCCCAAUUAUUACUGACCUCAACUCUGAUAGACAAGCCCUCCUUCACUUUGUUGCCACUGUCCCACAUGUCCGAAAACUUAACUGGAAUGCUACUACCUCAGUUUGCUCUUCUUGGGUUGGGAUCACUUGCAAUGUUAAUGGAACUCAAGUUGUUGCCAUCCAUCUUCCUGGAGUUGGACUCUCUGGCCCCAUCCCAGCCAACAGUUUGCAAAAACUCAAUGGUCUCCAGGUCCUUAGUCUCCGGUCCAACAAUCUCAGUGGAAAUCUUCCUUCUGAUAUCACCUCCAUUCCCUCCCUCCAAUACCUUUACCUCCAACAUAACAACUUUUCAGGUGCGUUUCCUGAAAUUAUAUCCCCCCAGCUCAAUGUAUUGGAUCUUUCCUUUAACUCCUUCACUGGAAAAAUUCCACCAACACUCGAGAAUCUGACAGGACUUAAUGUGCUUAACCUUCAAAAGAAUUCCAUCUCUGGUGAUAUCCCCCCACUCAACCUCCCCAGGCUCAAGACAUUGAAUUUGAGCUUUAACAACUUGAAUGGUUCAAUUCCUAGCUCCCUUCAAAAGUUCCCUUAUUCAUCAUUUGUUGGAAACUCUCUGCUAUGUGGGCUGCCUCUCAAGAAUUGCUCCUCAAUUUCCUCUUCCCCUGCUCCUUCCCCAGUUUACUUUCCAAACCCCACAAAUAUUUCCCCACUUCGACAUGCUUCCAGCAGCAAGAAACUUGGUUCAGGAUCUAUCAUUGCAAUAGCUAUUGGGGGCUGCGCUGUGUUGUUUCUACUGCUAGCAAUGUUCUUUGUGUGCUGCUUGAAGAAGGGCGAUAGUGAAGGUGGUGAUGUGCUGAAAGGAAAGGUCUCUGGUGGUAGGAACAGUGAGAAGCCUAAGGAGUUUGGAAGUGGAGUUCAAGAAGCUGAGAAGAACAAAUUGUGUUUCUUUGAAGGUUGUUCUUAUAAUUUUGAUCUUGAGGACUUGUUGAGGGCUUCGGCUGAAGUUCUUGGUAAGGGAAGUUAUGGAUCAACUUAUAAGGCUAUUUUGGAGGAUGGGACAGCAGUGGUAGUUAAAAGGUUGAAGGAAGUGGCAGCUAGUAAGAAGGAGUUUGAGCAGCAAAUGGAAGUCUUAGGCAGGAUUGGACACCAUUCAAAUGUGGUUCCUGUCCGUGCUUAUUACUAUUCAAAGGAUGAGAAGCUUUUAGUCUUCAACUACAUGCCCUCUGGCAGCUUGUUCUUGCUCUUGCAUGGAAGUAGGAUAGAAGGAGGAAGUCCAUUGGAUUGGAAUUCAAGAGUGAAAAUUGCACUUGGGACUGCCAGGGGUCUUGCCCACAUCCAUAAUUAUUCUGAGAGUAAUGGUAGUGUUAAAUUCAUCCAUGGGAACAUCAAGUCCUCCAAUGUCCUCCUCACCCAAGACCUUGAUGGUUGUAUCUCUGAUGUUGGUUUGGCUCCUCUAAUGAACUAUUUCCCUACAACCAAGCAACGAACCAUAGGGUACCGUGCUCCAGAAGUAAUAGAAACACGCAAAGUGUCUCAAAAAUCAGAUGUUUAUAGCUUUGGUGUGCUCCUGCUUGAAAUGUUGACAGGCAAAGCCCCACUCCAACACUCAGGGCAUGAUGAUGUGGUUGAUCUCCCCAGGUGGGUUCGUUCUGUCGUCCGAGAAGAAUGGACAGCUGAGGUGUUUGAUGUUGAACUCAUGAGGUACCAAAGUGUUGAAGAGGAGAUGGUGCAGAUGCUUCAGAUUGGAUUGUCAUGUGUUGCGAAAGUGCCUGAGAUGCGUCCAAAAAUGGAUGAAGUUGUUAGAAUGAUAGAGGAAAUUCAACAGCCUGAGUUGAAGAACCGCACAUCAUCUGAAGCUGAAUCAAAUGUCCAAACUCCAUGAUCAAAUUAGAGAAAUCCCCAUUUGAAUUCGAAAAGCUCAGUUUGCCCAAUAACUAUUAAGUUUUCUUCUUCUUCUAGGGAGCAACCGUGAAGUUCUAUUUUGUAUAUAUGGGACAGUGUUUCGUCAAG